rnacentral:rRNA from 1 species
AUUGAACGCUGGCGGCAGGCUUAACACAUGCAAGUCGAGCGGAGAUGAGGUGCUUGCACCUUAUCUUAGCGGCGGACGGGUGAGUAAUGCUUAGGAAUCUGCCUAUUAGUGGGGGACGACAUUCCGAAAGGAAUGCUAAUACCGCAUACGUCCUACGGGAGAAAGCAGGGGAUCUUCGGACCUUGCGCUAAUAGAUGAGCCUAAGUCGGAUUAGCUAGUUGGUGGGGUAAAGGCCUACCAAGGCGACGAUCUGUAGCGGGUCUGAGAGGAUGAUCCGCCACACUGGGACUGAGACACGGCCCAGACUCCUACGGGAGGCAGCAGUGGGGAAUAUUGGACAAUGGGGGGAACCCUGAUCCAGCCAUGCCGCGUGUGUGAAGAAGGCCUUAUGGUUGUAAAGCACUUUAAGCGAGGAGGAGGCUACUAAGACUAAUACUCUUGGAUAGUGGACGUUACUCGCAGAAUAAGCACCGGCUAACUCUGUGCCAGCCGCCGCCGUAAUAC